rnacentral:rRNA from 1 species
GACGGGGGCCCGGCACAAGCGGUGGAGCAUGUGGUUUAAUUACGAUGAUACGCGAGGAACCUUACCUGGGCUCAAAUGUAUGUUGACGUAUUCUGAAAGGGAUACUUCUUCGGACAAUAUACAAGGUGCUGCAUGGUUGUCGUCAGCUCGUGCCGUGAGGUGUCGGGUUAAGUCCCAUAACGAGCGCAACCCCUAUCAUUAGUUGCCAUCAGGUCAAGCUGGGGACUCUAAUGAAACUGCCUACGCAAGUAGUGAGGAAGGUGGGGAUGACGUCAAAUCAGCACGGCCCUUACGUCCAGGGCUACACACGUGCUACAAUGGCCGAUACAGAGGGCAGCUACCUGGUGACAGGAUGCAAAUCUCCAAAGUCGGUCUCAGUUCGGAUCGGAGUCUGCAACCCGACUCCGUGAAGUUGGAUUCGCUAGUAAUCGCGCAUCAGCCAUGGCGCGGUGAAUACGUUCCCGGGCCUU